rnacentral:sRNA from 1 species
GUUUUUUAAUUUAUAUAUCCUUGUUUUUUUGGUUAUAUGUUUAGAUUGUGAGACGGUAAAAUUUUUAAAAAAU